UGCUGAUUCUUGACAAAUAUUUGACAUGAUGUUUCAGAUUGAUCUGCUAAUAUCUAUGUGAUUAUGUGAUUAUUUUUAAAACAGCAGGAGGAUCGUGUUGGCAGAUCUGCAGAAACGUCUCCGACCAAUGAUGUUCCAGUGUAUUCAGUAGUAUCAGCCAAUCAGAGGGAUGAUCUGUAUGCCAACAUUAAAAAGAAGGAACCCAAAUCCAAAGACUCUGGAGAUGUUGAAGAUGUUCAGUAUGCCAGUGUCCAUCACUUCAAGAGCAAAGACAUGAACAAGACUGAAGAGACCACUGAGAUGCAACAGCCGUCUGAUGCCAACAGAGCUGAGGAUGUGAUCUACAGCUCAGUGAAAUGAAGAACAUGUAGUCUUCAUGCUCAUGGGAGACCUGGUUUUGAGUCCAUCCCAGGUCAUGUUCCAUCUCCUUUUCCUCUUGAUUCCACCCAUUUACUCAUCUAUGGGACUGUUCUGCUGUUUAGACAUUAAUGGCUUUCAGUUUAAACUCCACUUGUUUGUUAUGAUCUUGAUUGAUUGUGAAUAUCACAAGCACACUCACUGCCUUCACUCUAUACUCACACAUGAACACCACUUUAGGCCUUUUAGCUCUCGCUUUGUACAGUCAAUGUAAAACAGAUAUUCUCUCUGUUCAUACUGUGAUUUUAUUGCUAAAUUCAUUACAUUUUAACAUUGUCAGAAAGUCUUAAUUUUUUUAUUAUGGCAUCACUGACAAAUUAGUACAUUUUACACCAAAUUCUCAUUACUGUAAUGCACCAGAUAUUGUAUUUUCCAUGAUAUUCAUUACUGUAAUAAAUACUGUAAUCUUUU